UACGUAGGGCGCAAGCGUUGUCCGGAAUUCUUGGGCGUAAAGAGCUCGUAGGCGGUUUGUCACGUCGGCUGUGAAACCCUGGGGCUCAACCCCGGGCCUGCAGCCGAUACGGGCUGACUAGAAUUCGGUAGGGGAGUCUGGAAUUCCUGGUGUAGCGGUGAAAUGCGCAGAUAUCAGGAGGAACACCGGUGGCGAAGGCGGGACUCUGGGCCGAUAUUGACGCUGAGGAGCGAAAGCGUGGGGAGCGAACAGG
rnacentral:rRNA from 1 species